AAUUUAAUUGCAGCGCUGAGAUUGUUGACCAUCAUAAUUCUCCUCUAACGAACUGUUAUGGAUCGUAAUCCAUGCAGUGAGAAAAAAAAAAAAAAGAAGUGGCAUCCCACUCAGGAGAGCACCACUGAUUCAUGGGCGACUCAGAGAGGAUCUGCUCGGCCGUGCUGUUGUGUCACGACUUAAGUACAAACAGCCCAGCGGAGUGACAUGUCCUUCUCACUGGGAUGAAGUCAACAACAUAACAGGAAGGAGGACAAACACAGACAGUGGGAGUGGAGGGAGGUUGUGUGCUUGUGUGUGUGUGUGUGUGUUGACUUACUGUGAAGCCAGUGCCCACAGUGGAGGUGAAUGACCCCGGGAUGAACUUGCCCUGGUCAAACUGAACCAGCAGAGAGGUCUUGCUCACGCCGUUGUCUCCCACCAGGAUGGUCUGCAGAUUGAGUCACACACACACACACACACACACACACACACACACACACACACACACACACACACACACCCAAACACCCCCACACAUACACACAUACACACACACACAGGAGACAUCAUGUUCUGCAGCCUCGCGCCGUUGUAAUCGCCCGAGGCCACAGCGCUGUGUGGGCACGCGGAGUGGGUUAUUGUACGAGUUCAUCAUGUGUUGCUCAGCGCGCCGCCCGCCACUGUCUGAUGCUUUGUGACAGCUGGAGGUUGGCUUGGUGUCUUCGGGAGGGAAGGUCGGCGUUGCCGCGAAGGCAGGACCUGCUUCACAAAUAGCGGAAGGUCAGAAAGAAAACAAUUUCCCCCAGGGGAACACGGAGAAGUUCUCCUCCGUUAUGCUCCUGCUCUGUUCAUGUUCAGAUCUGUGCAGAAGCUUCACAGAUCUAUGACUUUCUUCCAGACCUUCUGGGAAAGUCAUAGAAGUGGGUUUAAGUUAUAAUUCCUCACACUUGCUAAAUAACUCAUUAGGCUCCUGAACAGAGGGGAAUAUGUGUUGGGGGUUUUUCUCUUUUUUGCUACUGUUCCAGGUAGAUUUUAUUUAUUUGAUCUCAACUUGUUCAGUUCCAUCAUUUUCAAACACACACACACAACACAACAUGCUGUCUUGAUUUAGGUCAAGAAUUAAGCAGAAAAUGGUUGAAAAGCUACCAAGGUCCAAGAAAAAAAAGAAAGAACUGUUCAGUAAUCUUAUGAAAACUAAGCAAAAUAAAAGUUAGAAGUUCACGGUGCUAAAGUUACAAUAGGAUGGUAAUGUUUAAAACGGGGAUAAAUAGAAUGGCCUAGUCAAAGUGCCGUUUACCCAUCCGUAACAAGACUUCUGAGGCCUCUUGAGCUACUUUGGGUCUGAUGUAGUGAAAAACUUAGACAAACAGCUGAAAACCACAUGCAGCUGUAUUUAAAGCAACAGAGGUUAUAGGAGCACAGAUUCAGGCCACUAAACAUAAAUUUAUAACACGUUUUACUUUUCUAUUUGGAACAAAAUUACAUAUAUAAACAUUCUGCUUGACAUUCAUCUGGUUGGCCUUUGAUAUUAAUCUCCAUCCAGCUCAGAAUCAGGUCUGAAAAUUAAAGAAAGUUGCAGGUUUGAUUCCAGGUUUCCUCCUCCUCAGCGCUGCAGAAAGAUGAAGAUGACUUUUAAAAGUCAUAAAAACAUAGAAAGGUUUAGUCCAUUUACCAAUACUUCAGGGAUGAAUACUUUUGCGAGGCUCUGUGUAAAAAUGUCUGUCCGCUAAUGAACCACGUAGCGCUUUAAAAUUUGUUAAACAUUACAGCUAAUUAAAAGUGGAGCUAAUAAAAAAACAUGCUUCUUAUUAGACUCUGAGCAAUGAAUGUUCUCCUCUUCCUCCACCACUUCCUCUGAAAGCCAGCCUCAAACACAUUUAGCGGUCUGCAGAUCUGAAAGCGUCGCUCCGGAUGCGGGCAUCAGCUGACCUUUUUAUCUCUGGUUAUUGCCUCUCCCGAGAGCCGGAGCACCAAUAGAGCUACUUGGCAGCAGAUGUUUACUUUUUAUUGUGGAAAUUUAUCACCUUACAGCCACAGUCCUCUCUCUCUCUCUCUCUCCUUUUCACUCCGCAUGCAGGAAGCCAGAGUCUUCUCCUGCUUCUAAUCUGCUGCCUACAAGAGCAAAUGUACAGCAGAGAGUGACAGCAUGCCGGGCUCCACCGCUGGUAAUACGCUCUCUUUAAUCAUCCUCGUGCAUGUACGACACGUCGGCUUUGAUGUUCCAUUAAAACGGACAAGCUGGCGAAGGUUGGAGCGGAUCUAAAUUUAUUCGGUCCAUAGGAGUCGCAUUCUGCUCGCCUCUUCACUUGCACUUGAGCAUAGAGCGAGUGGCCAUCCAUCAAAUGAAGAAAGAGGCUGGGAAGAUGAAUUCAUCAGUGAAAACGAAAAUUUUGCCAAGUGGACAACAACAUCUCCGCAAAGAGCUGCAGCCGACCGCACUCAAGUACAUGAAGAAAUAACAACAUGACUGUGGAGAUAAAAAAUAAAUAAAUAAAAAGAACACACCAGACAACUGAACAAUUAAUACCAUACGAUGACACAAAAUGUCAACAAGCGCACGCUCCGCCUCUCAAAUGUCGGCACAGCCCUGUUCGAAAUGCCAGGAGACUUUGAUACAUCAUUUCUAUUCCGUUUCCACUUACUGUGACAGACUGGCGACCUGUCCAGGGUGUACCCCGCCUCUCGCCCGGGACGCAGCUGGAGAUAGAAACCAGCAACCCUCCCGACCCCAUUUAGGGAAGAAGGGUGUAAAGAAAAUGGAUGGAUGGAUGGAUGGAUGGUUUCCACUUAAACACUGGCAAGAAGCAGCCGUAACGUCCAAGUUUGCAGAGUGGAUAAAAUGUUGAAGAGUAUCUCGUUUUGCAAAGAUAUCAGUCAGGAGAAGGACAGAAACAAAUCCGUCGUGAUACAUAAAUACAGCAUGGCACAGUGAAGCCAGUGGAUUUAGUUUUUAUGGUUUAAAAUAAGCAAGCAAUGCCAAAAAUGUGCAUGUUUAAUCAGAAAGUGAACGCUUUCACAAAGUCUAAAUUAAUUAUUUUCUUAAAAGCAAAACAGUAGAAGGCAGUGGAAAAACCCCCCCCAAAAAACUCAAGACCUUUCGACUUCUAACAUUUAUUCCUCGAGCAACACGGCUGCCCGCUUCGUGGUGCAGAAAGGAAACGUGUGUAGGAGUAUUCUUUGUGCACCAGGAACACUGAUUACUGUUAUUGUUUGCUUUCAGGAACGCAAAUUAAACUCACUUCUUCAUGUGCAGUGGAGACGCUCCGUCAGCGCUGCAGCCGCUCGGUGUUACAAGCAGCUCAGUCACAGAGAAGCUGCCGCUGAAUGAGAGUAGGAGAUUAGGAUUCAUCCUGAACUACCGCCAUUGUUAAAAAUGAAAAACGUACCUCUGUCUCCAGCGACAUGGAGGAAUAGCCUUGUUGUCAGAACAGAAUCUGCGCAGCGUUAUUUACAGGACUUUGUCUGGGCCUUACGAUAUGUUUUGUUUAUCUGACGCCGUUUAGGUCUAAACGUGGAUAAAAUAUCCAUGUGGAAGUCGGGAGGAUUGCUCAGAGUGAGUGCUGUCAUUGAUAAUUACUAAAACUCAAAAUGUUCCUAAACUUGAUGAAUAGAAGAGACUGAAGCUGUUCAGAGAGCCAAUGAAGAUGCCGACAGCACCCACAUCCUGUUCUGCGUGGGGAAACUUUCUGUGUUCUCUUUGCGUCUGAAAUAAGCAGUAAGCAAUCGGAUGCUUGUGUCCGGAGAUGCAACCACGCAUCAAAACAUCUGCCACAGCAUGUGCAUUUCAAACCGUCUGUGUCCUUGGACUCCUUGUUCCAUCAGCCCUCCUUGGAAACGCAGGACUUCUCUUCCUGAAUGGCUCGCUCUGAGAGAAGUGGAUGCAGAGGCAGGCGGCUGAUGACCGCCAACAGCAGGAGGAGGUGCAGGCCGAACCCCUGCCUGGAGAGCAAACGAUGCAAACCAGAGGAGAGGCUGAUGAGUCAGAGUGAGGGGGAUGUGCUGUGCUGGGUUUCAGAGGCCCGAGUGAAAUCAGAGUGUUACCAUUUCAUCGCUCACGCAUUAAAGUCUGAUUCAGACACGUUAGCAUUUUGAUGAUGAGAGCAAAGCAACAACAAAAAAAAUAUCCAUGGAUGAUGGUUUGAGGAGCUCGUGAAAACCUCAUAGUUCGGAUAAGAAGAAAUCUCAGGGUGAUAAUAAGGGAUCGAGUUUUCACUUUUUAGUGAUGUAUACUAAAGGUGAAAGAAAGUAUGCUGUGAUUAAUUAGAUGUUAAAUCCACCUUCUGUCUUGAAAUAUGGCCUAUAUAAAUAACUGGAUAUAUUUUCAUAAACCAGCCCCUAAUUACACGGGUUACUGUUAAAAGUUUCAGUGAACAUCCCCUUUGAAAUGCCAGAUUUGUGUGACACAAAAAUCACAUCCUGUGAUAUUGUGGUAGUGGCAGUACCACAUCAUGAUACUGCCACUACCACAUUUCACUAAAUGUGAUGCUUUUUUUUUGUGUCAAGUUUUUGUGAAUGUUUUCUUGAGAAGGAAAGAGUCGAACUUCUCAUUCCUGUCGUACAGGGAACACUGAAUAUCACAUCUUCCUGCAGGCUGCUGUCAAAUAUAAAAUGCUUUGGAUAUUUUUUUGUAAUCUUCUCCUGACUUAAAAAAAAACAAACAAAAAAAACAAAGCAAGAAAGCCGGAGCCGUCCGAGUGUGGCGCCUUUUGUUGUUUCUGACUGGGCAAAGGAACAAACACAAGCUGAAAUUCAAUCAGCGGAGAGGCAGGAUCUCCAUCUCAGCUCGCCACAAAGUAAUACUUGUUUCAACAUCCAGUAAUUACAAUCUCAGAUAUCCUCUAAUCCCGUUAGCUGCGUGCUGCCGCAGCGAAAGCCUCAAUUUGUUUGAUAGAAGCGAGCUUUAACCUGCCAGAGCAAUUAUUUGAAAAUCUGGACGUUUUAUUGUGACAAAAGCAGCAAAAAGUCGGCAGAGAGAAGCUGAGCAGUUUGCCGACACCAAUGCUCUGUCAUCUGUGAACAUGAAGCGCCUGAUUGGCUCAGCAGCUGUUGGGUGAAAUUCAAAAUAGUAUUAUUGCUUUACUAGCUCUUAACUAUAAAUAAACCAAUAAUUUAGUAAGUAGAAGCAAACUAGCAUAAAAUUCUUAGUUUACCUUAUGUGUUAGUUCUUCAUUAUGGGGUUUCUGCAUGUCCUCCAUGUCAAUCACAGAUGAUCCAGACAGGUUGUCCAUUGUCUCCUGCAUCUCUGUCUCUCACAAAUCAGGUCUCUGCUCAGAAGCAGGCGAACUCAACCCAGAGACCUUCCACUCCUCACUCCUUUUAAGUCGGGUUUACAGCCCGCUGUCCUCAACACCUGGCCCUCCUUCUCCGCAGGUCUCCUUUUUUCCUCGAUGUGGAUAAAAUCCGGCGCACAGAGGGGAAAACUGCCUUCAUCCGGAAAACACUUCAAAUAUUUAUACGGGGAAGCCCAGAAAUGUUGCCUACAGUAUUUAUGAAGGAGGAAAGCUUCAGCACCCCAGAGGGUGUUUACAUCCUUCAUAUAAUCCAAAACUAUUCAUUCUUGACUUUUUCUCAUAUUUUGUCACAUUAAAUUGUGAUGUCUGUGGAUUGCAUCGAGAAUAGCUAGAGCACAACUGUGAAGAUGAAGGGAAAUCAUUCAUUCAUGGAACGCCUGUGGUGACGGCGAGUAGAUCACCACAAACACACCAUGAAGGGCUGUUUUAUUCUCAGCAGUGGCAGAGAAAGUGGAUGAAGCAACAUGCAGGGGAGUCCAGGUCCUACAGCAACUCUACACACACAACCUGCAGCGACAGGCUCCUGUUCCCUACAGAUGGGAGCGACGGAGCCGAGGAUGAGUCACCGUCCGGGCUGCUCCCGACUAUCGCAACAGCACGGACAGAAAUCUCAACCUCCCAAAACCCAGAGGAGCCGCUUCAUGCGACACCGAACAGGUGGACUGUCGAAUGUAACACAAUUAGAGGGCAGUUUUAACAGCUCAGGGAGCCAAGAGACGAACAGACAGCGUACAGCUUCCCUCCGACUGGAUAGAAAAAUAACAUUUGCUAAGAUCCAUUAAUCUGCUUAUUCUCUCAAUAAAACCGGGGCUUCACUGAAGCGACUGUACUGUGCAAGCUAAACAAGGUCACUUAAAAACAAUGUACGUGUUGGACGGUCAUUAUUUCAGAACACAAAAGAAGAAGAACAACAACAAAAAAGUAAAAAACUAAAGUUAAAACACUAGUUUCUGCAAGCUAUUCUGCAAACGUCAACCUUUUUCCACAUAAAGGCAGCUUAGAUUCUUCCUGAUCAAACUAAAACAAUUAGCGUAAAAAAAAAAAAAUAAAUAAAAAAAAAAACAGAAUAAAAAAAUUACAGUGGACUGUUUAAAAUUUAAGGAGUAAAAAUACUAAAAUAAAACAGCAUGAGAACAGAUAUGUAAGAAAGAACCACAAACAGGCAUGACAGUACCGCAUCUGCACAGGCAAACAGGAGGUAUAACAAUCUGUUGUUUCAAUGCCUAUCAUGCAAUGGAAAAGAAUGACACUUUUAGUGGAAAUAUGCAACUUUAAGCCCGACUGCUUUAAAAAGACAGAAUCUGAACGCUUAACACUGAGGUCAGCGUGUUCAAAAC